rnacentral:lncRNA from 1 species
UGCUCUACCGAUCGUGGAGUCCCAGUCGACUGCGAGUCGUUGGAGCCUUUCAUUUCGCGAACUCCGACGGCACAGCGAAAGUGAGAACGUGACACGUCUUCGCUAGCGGGAAGGGUCU